UGGCCAACCCCCCCAAAAAACUUGCAGAGCCUCACAUACAACACUUCACUCUCUACUCUGGGGCUUAGGGAGCAAAUAUCUGACAAGGAAAAAAAAAGUUGUGCUUUUCUGCUGCUUCUUUUUCGCCCCCUCCCCCAACCCAAGAUGGAAUCAGCUCUAUUUAAACUAUUUUAGACUCAAUCAAGCAAGAAUAAUACUAUGGAAUUUAGCGGCAGUUUUAAACCGUGGUGAAGAGAGAGGCGAUCUGAAUUUUUGGAGACAAGAAAGACAUCUGCAUUCUGUGCUUCAGUGGGGGGCUUUACCAUGGGAUCUUUUCCUCCUGGCGGAGACUUGAAUCGCUACUCGCUAGAUUUGAGGGCAAAUUGUUCUUGCAAAGGAAGAAAACAUGUGAGACUACAAAGAAGCAUAAAAUGAAUAGACAAACACCACAAGCAAAGGAUAUACAGCCCUCUCCUUUCAAAGAGUCUACUUAGAUUGCAAGAGAAAUACUUCUUUCUUGGAUUACUCAAACACGUCUGUAUGUUCUACUUCCAUGCCAGCUCAUGAGCAGAAGAUGGCUAGUGACUUAUCUUCUAGAGAAAAAUGACAGAAAUGACUAUUUGGAAUUAUUCCUGGAAUUAGACCAGCAUGAGGUCCCCUCUGCCAAUCUAAGGGGAUUCAGGGAUGGAGCUCAGCACUCUGAGGCGGAUGGGAAACUGACAGAAAAACUGUGCUCUGAACGCAUCUCUCAUGAUCCCACUACAGCAGGCGCUGGCUUUUGGCAUCAGCAGUACCAGCUGCAUUGGGAGAAGCCAAGCCUGUCAUACCAUCUUCACAUCAAAUCUUCAGUAUACAAGAGCCAAAGCAUAGCUAGAGCUUAAUGAAGAAACAAAUACAAAAGAGAAGAUUAGGCCUCGUUAACACUCACAUUCAUUUGUUCUUAUAGAAACUGCAAUGGAUGGGUUGUUUUAUAGAAUUCAUUCUUUCCCUCUAAAGGAGAAAAGUUACAUUGAUGAUGCAUUUUUUUUAUUGUAAAUACUCAGGGGAAAAAAAUCUUUCUGUUCCUGUAUAACUCUAAACCAGUAAAUUGUUUUGUCAAAAAUGCUACUUGAAACAGUUAGGUCUAUGACAACUGUCAAAAUUUGUAAAUAAAUACUUUUCAUUUUUAUGUUAAUAAUAUUGUAGUCUUCUCCACAUAAAGCAUUCCUUUGCAUAGUUAAGUAAUAACGUGGUACUCUUUGGAGAAAUAGUGAUGUGAAACUUUAUCUAUUGUUAUUGAAUUAAAAAAAACCAAUCUGUUUUUUGAGGCUAAACAUUUAUAUUUCACGGCUCCAAAUUACUUUUAUCUUCAAAUUAAUUGCAUUUGAGAAAAGGGAAUUAUAUUUUUGAAGUUCACCAUAAACUAACCAGAAAGUUUGACAGCAGAAUGCUAUAGUUUUUUUUUAUUGUUGUAAGCAAUCAGUCAACUGUACAAAGGUGCAUUGUGUACAGCUGUAAUGUAAAACCUAUUUUUGUUUAUGCUACAUUUAGCUAUCUGUCAACCACUUAAUAUGGAGAAGAUUCAUUUUAAAUGAUAUUAUUCUAAAGGAAACAAGAGCUCCUUAAUGGAAUAAUGUAUUUACUAUGCCACAGUUUGUGUAUAGGACCUACACCAGGAAGAUUCAUAAUGUAUCUGUAGCUUUAAAACCUUAGAUGCAUGUUUAAUGAGGACAGGCUACUGCUAGUAGACACUGAUGCAGAAGAAUAUACAAUACCUCUGCAGGGUCUGAGACAGUUGAUUUUACAGUUUCUUGUAUAUUUUAAAUACAAAUUCAUAAGCAAGGUACUUUACCUCCCCUACAUUGGAACAAUGGGGAAUAUGAACAAUUAGGAUUUUUUUUUCAGUACACAAAUUCUCAUCAGUCAAUAUGCCAGGAGGCCUAAUUAAUGCAUGUCUUAUUUAAAAAAAAAUAUUUCUUUAUUAGAAGUAUAUUUUUUAAAGUAUAAUAUGGACAAAUUCUAUAAAACUUAUAACUCUGUUGUGAGCUGAGUAAAUUCAGGACUGGUUCACCUUUAUGAUCAUAUGAUGAUGACAAAGCAUAAAACAUACUUCUUACAAAUUAAGUUUUGAGCUGUCUAAAUAAUGAGAUGCAUAUUUGCAUAAGGCAGGGCUCUAUAUCUUAAAUAUCUUGGAGAUAUUAUCUUCUAAGUUCCCAUGCACAUGAUGCUUGAAUUUAUACAAACAUAGGAAGAUCAUUACUAUUUGAUACAUAAUUUUUAUACUAAUGUCUUUGAAGGAAAAAAUUAUGAUUCUUUGAAAAUAGUACAGUGGAACCCUUUUGUGAUGCUGAUGGUGUCAGGAGAUAGAAUCAUCCUAAUAUCUCAGACAACAUGGGUUGUGCUCACGUAGCUCUAUGCUUUACUGUAUGUAAUUGAUAGAUUUGGGGGUGAGGGGGAAGACAUGAUUCACCCAUGGUUACUUAAAUCCAUGUCAUAGAGAAUCAUGAAUAAUGAGUCUAGUUAAUAUGGAGUUCUACUGGAUUCAAAAGUAUACCAAAUUUUCCCGUUUUAUCCCCAAUAUUUCUUAGUGGAAACCUCCAUUUUAAAAUGGCAAAUCAAGCUGGGCCCUGCUUGAGUGAACUGGUCUUAUCUCAGAUGCUUUCAACUGAAAUGUUGAAACCCUAUUACAACAAAUGCAUGCUUGUGGAUGAAUUAUUUAAAUGACAUUUGGCAUUUAGAAGUUCACUGUUGUGGUCAUUCUGGCAUCUAUUCAAUCACAUAGCUGUUGCAUACUCUAAAUUGCUAGAUUUUCUUUAUUUGUUAAUUUUAUUAGCAGGCUCCUCAGCAGUUUGUAAUUAAGUAUGACAGGUAGAUUUACAUGAUGGCUCCAAAUGUCAGUAUUGCUCUACAAUAGCAUUAAUAUCACAAUUUUUGUUAGCAAGUAAAAUGAGACUACAUUUUUCUUUAUGUACCAUAAUACACUCUAAGAUAUUUCUUUUUUUACUAAUUACAUCAGCAUUAAUGUGGCCACAUUUUAUCAUCCAUUCUUAAAGCUAUCAGAUGGAUUUCAGCUGAUGUAAUCAGUUAUGUAAAAAAAAGAUGCAAAGCACAGCUACCCUAUUUUAUCACAGAGUAUUUAAUCUCUAAGAUGCCCUAAAUAUGCAAUUAUAAAACACAAGUGAAUUAUUUGGAUUAAUUUGAAACUACAGUGUCAUACACUAAUGCAGACCAUGUUUGGAGGGAAAUCACAUGUACUAAGAUUAACAUUAAAAUUACCCUCAAAGUUGUGCCUCCAAUACAAUAAAAGUUGCAUGCAGGUAUUUGAUGAAAUAUGGACAGAAUACAUGUAAAUGAAUGUAAAUAAUCUUUUAACGUAAAAGUCAUUGAGUCUUUGAAAGAUUUUAAAUGUAUAUUGUUAGUUAGGAAGUAACAUCAUAUUGUCUUCAGGGACUAGAGAUCUAGCAUCAUAGUUUUUACCAAUCUUAAUUUUAUUUACAAUGACAUUGCUUAACUUUGAAGAACAGAAACUAUAUAGAUGUGUAAGAAUAUUUCACAUGUAUGAUUACAAAUUGUAUUAAAAAUUCAAAAGUUAUAUUUGCAGAAGCAGAAAUAAGUAUAUAUUUCACCUUAGCUUUUACACAAAUUACCUACCGUUAAUGUUAUGUACAUUUCCUUUAAAAAUAAGUUGAUUGUGUGAGAAUAUCAGGUAUGAUAGUAAAUGUAAUUUAUCUUAUAAAAUAAAUUUAUGUUUGA